rnacentral:rRNA from 1 species
AUGGCGGCUCCACCACCUUCCACCUUCAUCGACGACGACGAAGAUAUGGACGCCGUCGACCUGUCGCUGACACUCGCCCACACGCCGUGGCCGGCGUCACCGUCGUCUCCUCCGGCUGCUUCAUCAGGUGGUGGCAAUGGCAGUGGCAGUGACAACGGUGGUCGUGGUGGCGUGAGGCUGUUCCCCUGCCUGUUCUGCAACAAGAAGUUCCUCAAGUCGCAGGCGCUAGGGGGACACCAGAACGCACACAAGAAGGAGAGGAACAUCGGCUGGAACGCGCACCUCUACACCACCCCCAUCAACACCAACUCAGCCGCUGAUGCCAUGCCCAGUAACCACCAGACGAUGUACCCCAUCCAGGUCUCGCACUCCUGCCAGCACCAGGGGUACCCCCACCUCGCCGACGGCGGCUCGCCGGGGGGCAGCUGGUGGCGCGACCAGGACGGCGACAAGAAGCAGCAACAGCCGAGGAAGGUCGACCUUAACCUCAAGCUCUAG